rnacentral:rRNA from 1 species
CCUACGGGAGGCUGCAGUGAGGAAUAUUGGUCAAUGGACGAGAGUCUGAACCAGCCAAGUAGCGUGAAGGAUGACUGCCCUAUGGGUUGUAAACUUCUUUUAUAUGGGAAUAAAAUGUUCCACGUGUGGGAUUUUGUAUGUACCAUAUGAAUAAGGAUCGGCUAACUCCGUGCCAGCAGCCGCGGUAAUACGGAGGAUCCGAGCGUUAUCCGGAUUUAUUGGGUUUAAAGGGAGCGUAGGUGGAUGGUUAAGUCAGUUGUGAAAGUUUGCGGCUCAACCGUAAAAUUGCAGUUGAAACUGGCAGUCUUGAGUACAGUAGAGGUGGGCGGAAUUCGUGGUGUAGCGGUGAAAUGCUUAGAUAUCACGAAGAACUCCGAUUGCGAAGGCAGUUCACUGGACUGCAACUGACACUGAGGCUCGAAAGUGUGGGUAUCAAACAGGAUUAGAUACCCUUGUAGUC